UACAGAGGUCCCGAGCGUUGUUCGGAUUCACUGGGCGUAAAGGGUGCGUAGGUGGUGAGAUAAGUCGGAUGUGAAAGCUCGGAGCUCAACUCCGAAAUGGCAUUGGAAACUAUCUCGCUCGAGGGUUGGAGGGGGGACUGGAAUGCUUGGUGUAGCAGUGAAAUGCGUAGAUAUCAAGCGGAACACCAGUGGCGAAGGCGAGUCCCUGGACAACUCCUGACACUGAGGCACGAAAGCUAGGGGAGCAAACAGG
rnacentral:rRNA from 1 species